GAUGAAGAACGUAGCGAUAUGCGAUACGUAAUGUGAAUUGCAGAAUUCAGUGAAUCAUCGAAUCUUUGAACGCAUAUUGCGCUCUCUGGUAUUCCGGAGAGCAUGCUUGUUUGAGUAUCAGUAAACACCUCAACUUCCAUAUCUUUUUUGAAAUGGGAGUUGGACUUGAGUGAUCCCAACGCUUUUCCUCACCGAAAAGUGGCGGGUUACUUGAAAUGCAGGUGCAGCUGGACUUUUCUCUGAGCUAUAAGCAUAUCUAUUUAGUCUGCCUAAAAAACAGAUUAUUACCUUUGCUGCAGCUAACAUAAAGGAGAUUAGUUCUUGUGCUGACUGAUGCAGGAUUCACAAAGACAGGCUUCGGCCGACUUUGUAAACUCGAUCUCAAAUCAAGUAAGACUACCCGCUGAACUUAAGCAUAUCAAUAAGCGGAGGA
rnacentral:misc_RNA from 1 species